UGGAAGAAAUUUUUGUAAAUUCAUUUAUAUAAUGGAAUUGCUAGACAAUUAGCAAAAUUCAUUAUUUUGGUGAUUGAUGAAAGCAACUACUGUACAUUCAAGACAGUCUGUAUUUUGUCACUGAGUCUCCAAUACUAAUAAACACUACUUUUACCUCAAUUACCAUACCAAUUGAUAUGCAAAUGGUAAAAAUUUCAAAAAUUAAUGUAUUUUUAAAUAAGGUUAUAGUUUUGUGAUUAAUCAUCCACCUAGGAUAACAUUGGUGGCCAUUAUUUUGUCCUUGCUCCCCAUUUGUCCAUCUGUCACUUGAAGUACACUGUAGUAGUCAGGAGAAGUUGGACUCUGAUUCAAUAUUUUGA
rnacentral:misc_RNA from 1 species